UUAAACUAGGAUUAGAUACCCUAUUAUAUUAAAGUUAAAUUUGUAAAUACUGAAUUAUUAAUAGAUAUUUCUUGAAAUUUAAAGAAUUUGGCGGUAAUUUAGUCUUGUCAGAGGAACCUGUUUUUUAAUCGAUACACCACGUUAUAUCUUACUUGUUUUAAAUAGUUUGUAUACCAUCAUUAGUAGAUAAUUUUAAAAGGAAAAAUUAUUGAAAUUAAAUACGUUAAAAAAAUUAGAUCAAGGUGCAGCUAAUAAAUAAGUUAAAAUGGGUUACAAUAAAAUUUAUUUAUAUGAAAUAAUUUAAAAAAUUGAAUUAUAAAGGUGGAUUUGAUUGUAAUAUAAGUUUAAUAAGCUUAUAAGAUACAAGCUCUAAAUUAUGUACACAUCGCCCGUCACUCUCAAA
rnacentral:rRNA from 1 species